ensembl:lncRNA
UGUGUUCCAAUCCUGCUGCUCUAUGGUCUCCCUCUGUUCCAUCCCUGUGUUCCAAUCCUGUGUUCCAAUCCUGUGUUCCAAUCCUGCCGCUCUAUGGUGCGCUCCCUCUCUUUUCUCUUAUGUAAGCAGCACCAGAACAGAACUCAUCAUUCCCCCUCAUAGACUCAUCAGUGAGAGGACAGACAGACAGAACAGAACUCAUCAGUGAGACAGACAGACAGAAUAGAACUCAUCAGGCAGACAGACAGAAUUGAACUCAUGCAGUGAGACAGACAGACAGA